UAACCUAUUGUCUGUGUCAUUUGUACUCUUGAUUUAACGAGAGGAACAGAUUUCAACAAGAUGUUAAAAGAUAUGUUGACUAUCUCUGAAUUGAUUAUUUGCCUCUGCUUAAGAUGUCAAGGUUUUCAAAAUAAACUUAUCAUUUCGACUUAUGGUACUAUCAAAGAACUUAACUUGCAAAAUGGAGAAGAAUUGGAACUUCAGACUGACCUUCAUAGCUUUAUCUAUUCUGUAGACUAUGAUUAUAGAAAUGGAUAUAUAUAUUUUUCAAGAUAUACAAAAAAUGAUAAACAAAGAUUUCGAUAUCCACCAGGACAAAUGACGGAUUUAGUACCUGUUACUUUUGCAAGCAGACCAGUAGGUUUGGUGAUUGACCCUUUAUAUAACCAUGUGUAUUGGACAGAACGAUCCACCGGGAAGCUUUGUAGAUGUAAUUUAGAUGGGUCACUAAAAUCAGUUAUAUUGAAGGAUGAUCCACUCUUUGCUCUCACAUUUGAUUAUCGGAACAGAUGGCUGUAUUACAGUACGGAUGGUACAAAAAAAUCAAUUAGGCGAUUGAAACUUAACGCUUCUGAAAAUCAAACAAUCAUAAAUGUUCAAUCAGAACUAGUUACUGGUAUGAGCAUUGAUAAUGAUAAAGAUCGCCUUUAUUGGAUGGAAUUCAAUAAUGGGUUCUUGAAAUCAUCAACAUUAAAUGGAAGUAGUGUCAUAACGGUUUUAAACACAAAUACAAACAAUACAAACCAAGAUAUCCAUGUGUACCGAGGCAACGUGUACAUUGCAAAUGGUAAUUCUUUACUUAAUGUGACACCAGGAGUAUCAGCGCAUGUCAUUUACAAUAAUACAGGAACAAUAUAUAGUGUAUUUAUUCAUGAUGAAAACCAUGAAAUACGUACGUAUACUUAAUACAUUCGAUAUUCUAAUUGUUUUUAAAAGGAUUUAUGAAAAGUGUUUUUAAGUGAUAGAUCUAAAUUUUGUUAAAAAUAGAAAUUUAAAACAGGUUUAUAUUUCUUAAUUUUAAAUUGAUUAACAGUUGAAUAAAUUAAGAUAAUUCACUGCAUUUAGUAAUAUCAUUAAUUUUAGACAAACGACGAUGGAGUAUCUCAUUGAAGUAGAUUACGUUAUAUAUUUCUUAUUGUAAUGAUUCAUCAAUGUAUUUAAGCAUUAAUUAUACAGUUAGCAGUGAUUAUGUUCAUUUGGUUUGAUAUUCGGCAGGAAAUGUAUUAUUUAACACAAUUAUGUUUUCACGUUCUUUAUUUACUUUUUCUCAAUUAUGUAAAUAUGUGUACUUGCUAGCUUAACUGAUCGCUGUUUUCAUCCAUGCAAAUUUUUUUUCACUAAAUACUUACAAAGUAACAUAACAAAAAUACCGAACUCCAGGGAAAAUUCAAAACGGAAAGUCCCUUAUCAAAUUGUGAAAUCUAAAGCUUAAACAAAUCAAAGGAAUAGAAAACAAUUGUUUUAUUCCUGGUUUCAUACAGGCAUUUCCUUAUGCAGAAAAUGGUGGAUUAAACUUGGUUGUAUAGCUAGUUAACCCUCUCAAUUGUAUGACAAUCGUAUAGAAUUUUGUUAUAUUUACAACAAUGUGUUGACUACAUGUAUGAAGAAUCUUGGUAUGGACAUAAUUGUUGAA